CCUGCAGCUGCAGCAGCAGAAGCAGCAGCUGCUGCUGCUGCUGCUGCAGCAGGAGGCGGAGAGGAGACAGA
rnacentral:snoRNA from 1 species